rnacentral:rRNA from 1 species
AACGAACGCUGGCGGCAUGCCUAACACAUGCAAGUCGAACGAGACCUUCGGAUCUAGUGGCGCACGGGUGCGUAACACGUGGGAACCUGCCCUUAGGUUCGGAAUAACUCACCGAAAGGUGUGCUAAUACCGGAUUAUCUCUUCGGGCCAAAGAUUUAUCGCCUUUGGAUGGGCCCGCGUUGGAUUAGCUAGUUGGUAGGGUAAAUGCCUACCAAGGCGACGAUCCAUAGCUGGUCUGAGAGGAUGACCAGCCACACUGGGACUGAGACACGGCCCAGACUCCUACGGGAGGCAGCAGUGGGGAAUAUUGGACAAUGGGCGAAAGCCUGAUCCAGCAAUGCCGCGUGAGUGAGGAAGGCCUUAGGAUUGUAAAGCUCUUUUACCCGGGAUGAUAAUGACGGUACCGGGAGAAUAAGCGCCGGCUAACUACGUG